rnacentral:lncRNA from 1 species
AUGCCACUUCGAUGCAUUUGUCAAAUCCCUCCAGGCAUGGUGACUCAACCACUUCCCCAGGUAGCCUGUAAAGUGCCUGACAACCCUUUGGGUGAAGAGAAGAUUCCUAAAUUCCUCUUGGCCACCUGGCCACCCCUGGGCUCGUGUCCAGCUGCUGUCACCAGCACCCCCAGGGCCUUUCCCAGCUUGCCAGCCCCUCUGCCCCAGCCUGGAGCUGCAGGGUGUUGUUGUGAGCCAAGGGCAGGACCAGGCCCUGCUUGUGCCUCACCCCAAUGGCCUCAGCCCUGUCCAGACCCCUCUGCAGAGCCCUCCUGCAUGAUCCUCACUCAGUAUCACUUUCAAACUCACGUUUUACAAGAAGUGGAUGUUUGGAGACCACUCAUAUAUCAUCUAGAGAUGCGAAGUGCUGUGUUUUACACCAUUUUUGAAAGGAAAACACAGAAAGUAUGGAAGAUUUCCUGCAGGGAAACACAAGUCUUGGCAAUAUUUCACUUUUGUGAUGAAUACCUGAAAGACCAUUGUUAUCCAUUUUAGAGGGCUACGCUUGAAGAGGGACUUUCAAAACCAGAAAGAAAAAAAAAUGCAACAAAACAUUACCUGUUGUGCCUUUUGUGUUUUAGCUCUCUGUGUUUUGCUGAGGAAAAGCAACCCGCAAGAUUUAGUCUUGUAUCCAGAAUCACACCACAUCUUGUUUACUGCUUUGGCUUCUGCUCUCUGUCAAAACCCUGCCACACUGCUGCAGCAAAUUUGACCUGCAUUUAGUCACUCGAGGAAGUAAUUCCAGUUCACACACAGCAAAGCAAUCCUGGAUCUGCUUUAAAUUACUUUAGCAAUUGGGUUUACCUCUGUUUUUGCCUGAAAAAGACUCAAGAAGAGGGCUUUGGACCAGCUUCUUGCAUCCUGCAGUAUGGUUUCACCAUGCAUGGAAGUGAUCCUAUGUACAGAAGUCUCAUUUAAAGUACAUGACAGUUCUUUUUAUAGUCCAGGUACUUAAAAGUAACUUCUUUAAAUAGAAAUAUCCACUAAAAAAAGCCAAAUCAACCUUGCAGUUAUAAGGAGAGGGGUCCUUAUUUUUCACACCAUGUCUCUUUGUUGAUCUUGUUUUUGAAGUUGCUUGUGAGUGACUGAUACUAAAUCCACGCAGAAUAAAUCUGAUAAAUCUGAUUAAUUCA